rnacentral:hammerhead_ribozyme from 1 species
AUCCAGAUGAUGAGUCCCAAAUUAUACGAAACGCUCGUCCUAGAU